rnacentral:lncRNA from 1 species
GCUUGGGUUGCUGUGGAGGCACAAGUUUAAUCCCUGGCCUGGUACAAUGGGUUAAAAUAUCUGGCAUUGCUGCAGCUGUGGCCUAGGUCACAGCUGCAGCUCAGAUUCAAUCCCUGGCCUGGCCUGGGAACUUCUAUAUGCCAUGGGUGCAGCCAUCUAAAAGAAAAGUAAAAAUAAAUAAAUUUUCUCAGACAAUCAAAAAUUGGAGAGAAUUUCUCACUAGUAGUACUACUCUGGAAGACCUGUUAGAAGAAGUUCUUCUGAGAGGUGGAAAGUUAUAUAGAUCUGGGACUAUGAACAAACGAAACUAAGAACAAAUGAAAGCAAAGUGAAAUAUUUCUAUUCUUAUUCUUAUUUGAUCUAAAUGUUAGCUCUUUAAAUUAAUAAUAAUAAAAUAGGUACUGCUGGAAAAGUAAAAUGAAUUAACUCAAUGUCGGAAGGGAUGGGAGGAAAGAAUCAGCACAUAUUGUCAUUUGCAGAGGGACUUUGAUCAGUCCAAGUGUAUAUUAGAAACUCUAAGUCAACAACUAAAUUUAUCAUAAGAAAUGAUAUUUAAAUGCUAAUUGAGGAAAUAUGAAAAAUAUACAAAAUGCUCAUUUUAUUUUUUUUAUUUCCCCAAUAUAUUAUUGUUUUCUACUGUACAGCAUGGUGACUCAGUUAAACAUACAUGUACACAUUCUUUUUUCUCAUAUUAUCAUGCUCCAUCAUAAGUGACUAGACAUAGUUCCCAGUGCUACACAGCAGGAUCUCAUUGCUAAUCCAUUCCAAAGGCAAUAGUCUGUAUCUAUUAACUUCAAGCACCCCAUCCAUCCCACUCCCUCCCCCUUGGAAACCACAAGUCUAUUCUCCAAGUCCAUGAUUUUCUUUUCUGUGGAAAGGUUCAUUUGUACAUUAUAUUAGAUUCCAGAUAUAAGUGACAGCAUAUGGUAUUUGUCUUUUUCUGACUUAACUUCACUCAGUAUAAGAGUCUCUAGUUCAAUUACAAUAGCUGAGACAUGGAAACAACUCAAAUGUCCAUUGUCAGAUGAUUGGAUUAGGAAGAAGUGGUAUAUAUACAAAAUGGAAUACUACUCAGCCAUAAAAAAGAAGAAAAUGCUCAAUUUAAACCAGAGAAGGAAGAUAAAUAUGUUCAAUGUGAGUCAUAUAAAAUAUAGCAUAUAAAAGACAAAUACUGGCAGAACAGACUAUAAAAAUAAAACUCAACUGUACUGUCUACAAGAAAACUAUAAAUAUUUAGAUAGGAUAAAUGUAAGAAGAUGGAGGAACAUAUACCCUGGAACACUAUCAAUUAAUACAAAACUAGAAUAGCUAAUUUCAUAUAGAACAAACUUUGAAACAAGAGAACUAAUCAGCUAUAAAGAGAGACAUUACAUAAUGCUAAUGAUAAAGUAUCAAUUCUCUGAGAAGGCACAAUGAUCCUAAACAUAUAUGUGUCUAUCUAACAAUAGAUCAUCAACAGACAUGAGGCAAAAAAGCUAGUAGAAAUGCAAGUAGAGAUAAACAAAUCUGUAAUAAUAGGAAAAUUCACUAUACUUCUGUUAGUAACUGAUAGAAUGAACAUCCAAAAAAAAAAUCAGUAAGUAUAUAGGUGAACAGAAUUAUUAAUGUACUUGAUCUAAUUCAUAUUUAUAGACUACUCAUCCAACAACAGUAGGAAAUACUUUCUUCUCAAGCUCACUUAGAACAUUUACCUAGACAAAUGACAUUCUGGGCAACAAAAUUGAUAAAAAUUAUACAAAGUAUUUUGCAGCCCACAACAUAAUUAAACUAGAACCUAAUAACAAAAAAUAGUUGGAUAAUGCCCAAAUAUUUGAAAAUGAUUUUAAUCUGUUUGAUUUUUUUGUGGGAGGAGGAACUAGCUCAAAAAGGUCUGCUAAGACCAAUGCUUGGCGUUCAGGCCAUAGGUUCACAAACUUUUUUUUUCUGGCUGCACCUGUGGCAUAUGGAUGUUCCCAGGCCAGGGGCUGAACUCAUGCCACAAUGGUGGCCUGCACUACAGCUGCAGCAUUGCCAGAUCCUUAUUCUGUUGUGCCACAAGGGAAUUUCCUGAAAAUGAUUUUAAAUAACGCAUAGAUCAAAAUUUCAUGAGAAUUUAACAAGUACUUUAAACUAGAUGAAAAUGAAAAUGCAAUAUAGCAAACUUUAUGGGAUCAGUGAAAGCUGGGUUUAGAUAUAAAUUCAUAGUAUAUAAAUAAAAUAUGUGAAAAGAAGAAAAGAAUAAAAUCAGUAACCUGAGAUUUUACCUAAGGAAACUAAAGAAAUGAGUAAUUUAAACCUAAAAGAAGCAGUGGAAAAAAAAGUCAAAGCAGAAAUCACAACAUUGAAAACAGGAAAACAAUAGAGAAUAUCAAAUGAACCAAUAGCUUUUUCUUUGAAGAAAUCAGUAAGAUUGACAAAAUUUGAAGAAGGAUAAUCAAG